AAGGCAAGCAGAUAACAGAAAUCAAGCAAAAGAGGUAAUCAAGUACAAAAACUGCUUGGGAAGAAGUCAAGCAUGGAAAACAAUGGAUUAGUGAGCCUUGAACUGAGGCUGAAUGAGCUGCCCCGCCUGCCUGUGCUGCUCAAGUCUCCUGAGCACCCUCCCUUCUCCUGCUGCUCGGCUCCUGUUCACUCUUGAUCCAAAGGUCAAAGGUGUUUGUUCUUCACCUCUGACCUGGUGUGCACGGAUUCUGGGAUUGGUUCAGUAAAAUACGGACUUAA
rnacentral:lncRNA from 1 species